rnacentral:rRNA from 1 species
UUCUCUUGAGAGCGGCGGACGGGUGAGUAAUACCUAGGAAUCUGCCUGAUAGUGGGGGAUAACUAAACGGAAACGGACGCUAAUACCGCAUACGUCCUACGGGAGAAAGCAGGGGACCUUCGGGCCUUGCGCUAUCAGAUGAGCCUAGGUCGGAUUAGCUAGUUGGUGAGGUAAUGGCUCACCAAGGCUACGAUCCGUAACUGGUCUGAGAGGAUGAUCAGUCACACUGGAACUGAGACACGGUCCAGACUCCUACGGGAGGCAGCAGUGGGGAAUAUUGGACAAUGGGCGAAAGCCUGAUCCAGCCAUGCCGCGUGUGUGAAGAAGGUCUUCGGAUUGUAAAGCACUUUAAGUUGGGAGGAAGGGCAUUAACCUAAUACGUUGGUGUCUUGACGUUACCGACAGAAUAAGCACCGGCUAACUCUGUGCCAGCAGCCGCGGUAAUACAGAGGGUGCAAGCGUUAAUCGGAAUUACUGGGCGUAAAGCGCGCGUAGGUGGUUUGUUAAGUUGAAUGUGAAAUCCCCGGGCUCAACCUGGGAACUGCAUCC